AAGGCGCUAUGCCAGAGAGAGUAAAGGGAAGAGUUCUGAAUACACGAACGGCUUGAGACUGGUCUCUGGGACGUUACCCAACAUCCUCAGGGAUCAGACUCACCACCUCAGAGGUCUCCCUCGUUACCUCACUUCAGCUUCCCAGACCCAAUUCCAGGCUCCGUUCCCCUUGAAGUCCUUCCAGCUAUCUCCUGCCUCUCGCAGCCGGAACUCUCCCCUGGCUCCGUCCGCACACGCUGCCUUUGUUUCAGUUUUCAUGCAGGCCCCUCUCCUCCACCCAGGUAUCCGGCCUCACACUUGCUGCGAAGGGAAGUUUUCUGUCUCCCUUCGCUCCCCAGAGUUCUGUGCGAGGGCCGUGACAGCGACCAGCUGGAGCUGGCAGAGUAGGGGGCAAGUGUCUGGAGGUGGUGGUGGCGGUGCUGUGGCGGGGCCUGUACGGCACUGCCUGCGGGGGCCCUCAUACAUGAACGGCUUGAGACUGGUGAGAGAUGGCACACCCCUGGUGUGGCGGGAAGAAUGUUGGAGCCAGAGGCCUGCGGGCGGUCACCCUGAUUUGCCCCCCGCCCCAUGGAUGUAAAAAAUGGCUUUGAAAUUAUAAUUAUAAAGUGAUAAAAGCUGCUCUAUUGUGCUGGUCCCUUGA